AGGCACUGGACGUAGAAUGCGGCUGGAGAAGAGGAAACUCAAGGCUCAAUCACUGACUGUCCACUGACUGCUUCUAAACAGGGGAUACCUGAGAAGACCAAAUGGGCGGGAGAAGAGGAUGCAAGAUGGCGCCAAUGAGCUUACAUAGAGCACUACUGCCCUCUAGAGGCCUCAGUUUUAACAGAUGGAGCACAGUCAAAGUUUCUUUCCCAUAAGCCCGAGCCAGGAAGAGGACUGGCUGCCAAACUGAAGCUGAGUGUGUUCUAGACUGGGCUACACUAGAAAACAGGUAUACCCUGGAAGCUGAUGCAACUCCUCAUAGAACCUGGAGAUCUGGAGAUCCCAGGUUGGGAUACGGAAAGUGUGUUCUAUCAAGUUUGGACUUGAGAACUGGAAAAAACUCAAAAGACAAAUGCAAACUCUCCACAGUCUAGAUGUUUUCUGGGCUAGAGAGUGAGAUUUUGUGUCAAAGAAUUUAAUGCAGGCUGGGUGGUGGUGGUUUUUGCUUUUAAUCCCAGCACUCGGGAGGCAGAGGCAGACAGAUCUGUGUGUGUUCGAGUCCAGCCUGGGCUAUAAGAGCUAGUUUCAGUACAGGCUCCAAAGCUACAAGAGAAACCCUGUCUCAAAAAAACUUAAGGCAGUCUUAUGGGGAAUGGCCAUGACAGGUGUGGAAGGGUGUGUUUGUGUGUAGGAAGGGAGUGUGUGGAGGGCAUGGGUAGGUGUGUGUGUAUAGAUGGGGUAGGGGGGGAUGUUCUAAGGUAUGUAGGAGACAGAGAGUGUAGAUUCAGUUUGAGCCUUAAAAUGAACAUUUUUUUUUACAGAAAUAUAAUAGGUAAUCCUAAAUUUCACUUAGAAUUUGAAGAUGAGUAAUUGAUAGUUGAGAUUUUCAUAUGUGAAAAUAUUAUAUCAACUAAAAUACAGAAAUAUGUUAAUAUAAGUCUAUACCCACAGUUAAGGAGAUGCCUGAAUUUGAGUUAUGCAUCUGUUAUGUUGCUGUUAUGUUGUCUGUCAGUGUUUAAGAUUGUUUGUUUGAAUGUUUCUGGGAAACAUGCAUAUCCAUUUUAAGAACUAAACAGAUGGUAACAAAUAGUGAUUGUAUAAGAAUGGAGUAGAUAUAUGCACUGAAAGCUCUCAGGGCACACACAUCUGGGUGACUGAAUUAAGUUGCACUUUUAACCAUUUGAUGCUUUUUAAAAAUGUUUUUGAAAGAUACAGUUUGCUUUUUCUAUUUUUGAACAGACACUUUGUAGUCCAGCACUCACCAUCUUGAACCUGAAGGGUCCACGAAUAAGAAUAUAAAAAUGUAGAUUCCAGAAAUAAGAAUGUAAAAGUAAAGAAAUAUAAAGUUUUAAGCCUAGGAAAAUGAAAGCAGGCUGUCAGCUUCUUAAGGAUUAACAAUUAACAAAGGGUUGCUCGGCUUUACAAAUGGCUACUUUGUCUACAAGAGUGAAGCAUCCAGUGAAGCAUCCCUCUACAAACUGAGGGUCAGCUUGGCAAACUGAUUGUUGGGGAAUGCAGACCCUCAGACCCUGAACUUUCUAUGACCCCUUGCCUGCCUGAGUGAACAACUUGUUUUCCUAUGCUUGCAGCAUGAGUUCCUGAUGUCAGGGGAGUAGUUUCUUGUGGGCUUACAGCUGAAAAAUCCCUAGAGCUAGGGCGUCAAGGAGACUACUAUAUAAGCUGUCCUGGAAUACAAUAAAAUUGGCAUUUUUGUUUCAAGAGUGA